rnacentral:snoRNA from 1 species
AUGAGGAGAGGGUAGGUAGCUGAGUUAUGAUGAACUAAUCGGCCCCCGA